rnacentral:rRNA from 1 species
GCCUACGGGAGGCAGCAGUGAGGAAUAUUGCACAAUGGGCGAAAGCCUGAUGCAGCAACGCCGCGUGAGCGAUGAAGGCCUUUGGGUCGUAAAGCUCUGUCCUUGGGGAAGAAACAAAUGACGGUACCCUUGGAGGAAGCCCCGGCUAACUACGUGCCAGCAGCCGCGGUAAUACGUAGGGGGCGAGCGUUAUCCGGAAUUAUUGGGCGUAAAGAGUGCGUAGGUGGUCUUGUAAGCGUGGGGUGAAAGGCAGUGGCUUAACCAUUGUUAGCCUUGCGAACUGUGAGACUUGAGUGCAGGAGAGGAAAGUGGAAUUCCUAGUGUAGCGGUGAAAUGCGUAGAUAUUAGGAGGAACACCAGUGGCGAAGGCGACUUUCUGGACUGUAACUGACACUGAGGCACGAAAGCGUGGGGAGCAAACAGGAUUAGAUACCCUGGUAGUCC